rnacentral:lncRNA from 1 species
UACACUGGUUAGUUUUUGUCAAGCUGACACAAACUAGGAGGCCACCUCACUGGGAAAUUACACCAAUCUGGCUGCCCUCUGAGCAAGCCCAUGAGGCAUCCUCUUGACUGUUAAUGGGAUAGGGGCCACAGCGGAUGCUGCCACUCCUUAGCGGUGGUCCAAGGUUCUAUUAGAAAUCAGGCUGAGCAGGUCAGUAAGCAGCACUCCUCUGUGGUUUCUGCCUCAGUUCCUGCCUCCAGGUUCCUGCCCUGCCUUCCAAGAUAAUGAACCUAUGAACUAAAAUAAGCUUUCUCCCCAAUUUGCUUUUGAUCCUGCUUUUGAUGACAGCAACAUAGAAGGAACUGAAACAGAGACCUUCCUCUGCUGUGCCCCGAAGACCCAGGAGAACACCACUCAUUGCAGUGGACCUCCGGAAGCUGCAGGUGUGACUGCAUGAGACCGGAAGCUGCAGGUGUGACUGCAUGAGACCGGAAGCUGCAGGUGUGACUGCAUGAGACCGGAAGCUGCAGGUGUGACUGCAUGAGACCGGAAGCUGCAGGUGUGACUGCAUGAGACCGGAAGCUGCAGGUGUGACUGCAUGAGACCGGAAGCUGCAGGUGUGACUGCAUGAGACCGGAAGCUGCAGGUGUGACUGCAUGAGACCGGAAGCUGCAGGUGUGACUGCAUGAGACCGUUCUGCCACCAGGAUGUGAAGACAGCACCCAGGCUCAAGGGAGGUGUCUCCCUGUCUCCAGCCUCAAUGCAUAUGAAGAACCAGCCCUCCUUGUUUGAUAGCAGUCGGAUCAGAGGAGCUUUGGAGAUACCUAGCUACACCCUCUACCUGUAUGUAUAAGGCCAGACUUAGUCAAGAACACAAUCACAGUUGAUGCUAACCCAGGAUUCAGCACAUACCUAGAAUUUCCCUAGUAACACACACGCUUUGUUUAAUCCUCCACAAAAUUUAUUCUUUAAGAGGUAAACUUAGGGCUGGAGAGAUGGCACUGGCUGCUCUUCCAAAAGUCCUGAGUUCAAUUCCCAGCAACCACAUGGUGGCUCACUACCAUCUAUAAUGAGAUCCAAUGCCCUCUUCUGGUGUUACUCAUUUAUAUAAUAAAUAAAUUAAUUUUUAAAAAAAGAGGUAAACUUAGAUACAGGACACCUGUAUCUGUAUCUAGAUACAAGAAACCUGACAAGAACCAAUGAGCUCAUUAGCCAAAGCCCAGAGUAGCAACUUUGCUUCAGAGUCCAAGUGGCAUUUUGAAUUGUGCCUAAACCUCCAGAUUGGGAUUCUGAGUCCAAUUCUCAUGUCAAUAAAGAAAGCUGAAGAUAAUAUGGCGCUUCAAAGUCACAUGACUGCUAGGUUGGAAAGAGAUAAGAUCAAAGAGUCAUUCCAUACAUAGUAACGCUGUAGUAAAUACAAUUUCUAGCUCACAGUAAAUGUCUCUACUUUAUCAUCACUAAUUAGCCCCCCUUCUCUUUUUCCCUUCGGAACCUUAGUCUUUGUUUUUAAGAUCUAUUCUUUUGUUUUAAUUAUGUGUCUGUGCUGGGGGACUAAAGUUGGGUAUGGGUGGCUGUGAGCCACUCAGCAUGGCUGCUGGGAGCUGAACCGGGGUCCUCUGGGAGACACGCUCUAAUCACUGAACCAUCUCUCCAGUCUGCAGACCCCAAUCUCUUAUGUGUGUUCAUUUGGAACUCUCACAAGUUAAACUAUGACAGCUCAUGAGGGCAGAACUGGAGGCUAAAGUACUAGAGUGACCCCAGAAUAUACAAGACAGGGGUAUGGGUCCCCAGUCUCAAAUCUCAUUUCAUUCAUUCAUUCACUCAUUCAUUUAUUGCUUCCUGGGAACAAAACACUAAUUUUGAGACAUAUGCACCCAUGUGACUGCUGUGGUUUCCAGUCUCCUGAAACACACUUGCACAUCAUUCCUCCAGAGGAUGUCAGCGAUCUGCAGUUACGAAGCACUCACUCAUCUGCCCACCUCACAGGCCUCUGAACCAUCCCUGAGCUGCAGGAGGUUGAAGUGCCUCAGCUGGAGAGUGUUAAUAGAUCCUAUACUCUUAGAUACACCAACCAGAGACGUGGCAACCGUUACUUAUUUGAGUGGUUUGGGUAUUUUAGAACAGAAAUUGCUUGCUUGGGGUUGUUUUAUUUUUUUCCCUCCUGUAACCCGAAGAACAAACUGUUGUGUCCGCUUAUUACAUUGAUAAGUAAAUUAGAUGCAAGACUUUCACAUCUCAUAAUCAACUUCACCCAACAAUAAAUAUAAAAUUGUGAAAUUUCUACCAC